CUGAGGCGUGAUGACGAGGCACUACGGUGCUGAAGCAACAAAUGCCCUGCUUCCAGGAAAAGCCUCUAAGCAUCAGGUAACAUCAAAUCGUACCCCAAACCGACACAGGUGGUCAGGUAGAGAAUACCAAGGCGCUUGAGAGAACUCGGGUGAAGGAACUAGGCAAAAUGGUGCCGUAACUUCGGGAGAAGGCACGCUGACACGUAGGUGAAGUGAUUUACUCACGGAGCUGAAGUCAGUCGAAGAUACCAGCUGGCUGCAACUGUUUAUUAAAAACACAGCACUGUGCAAACACGAAAGUGGACGUAUACGGUGUGACGCCUGCCCGGUGCCGGAAGGUUAAUUGAUGGGGUCAGCGCAAGCGAAGCUCCUGAUCGAAGCCCCGGUAAACGGCGGCCGUAACUAUAACGGUCCUAAGGUAGCGAAAUUCCUUGUCGGGUAAGUUCCGACCUGCACGAAUGGCGUAAUGAUGGCCAGGCUGUCUCCACCCGAGACUCAGUGAAAUUGAACUCGCUGUGAAGAUGCAGUGUACCCGCGGCAAGACGGAAAGACCCCGUGAACCUUUACUAUAGCUUGACACUGAACAUUGAGCCUUGAUGUGUAGGAUAGGUGGGAGGCUUUGAAGUGUGGACGCCAGUCUGCAUGGAGCCGACCUUGAAAUACCACCCUUUAAUGUUUGAUGUUCUAACGUGGACCCGUAAUCCGGGUUGCGGACAGUGUCUGGUGGGUAGUUUGACUGGGGCGGUCUCCUCCUAAAGAGUAACGGAGGAGCACGAAGGUUGGCUAAUCCUGGUCGGACAUCAGGAGGUUAGUGCAAUGGCAUAAGCCAGCUUGACUGCGAGCGUGACGGCGCGAGCAGGUGCGAAAGCAGGUCAUAGUGAUCCGGUGGUUCUGAAUGGAAGGGCCAUCGCUCAACGGAUAAAAGGUACUCCGGGGAUAACAGGCUGAUACCGCCCAAGAGUUCAUAUCGACGGCGGUGUUUGGCACCUCGAUGUCGGCUCAUCACAUCCUGGGGCUGAAGUAGGUCCCAAGGGUAUGGCUGUUCGCCAUUUAAAGUGGUACGCGAGCUGGGUUUAGAACGUCGUGAGACAGUUCGGUCCCUAUCUGCCGUGGGCGCUGGAGAACUGAGGGGGGCUGCUCCUAGUACGAGAGGACCGGAGUGGACGCAUCACUGGUGUUCGGGUUGUCAUGCCAAUGGCACUGCCCGGUAGCUAAAUGCGGAAGAGAUAAGUGCUGAAAGCAUCUAAGCACGAAACUUGCCCCGAGAUGAGUUCUCCCUGAGACUUAAAGUCUCCUGAAGGAACGUUGAAGACGACGACGUUGAUAGGCCGGGUGUGUAAGCGCAGCGAUGCGUUGAGCUAACCGGUACUAAUGAACCGUGAGGCUUAACCUUACAACGCCGAAG
rnacentral:rRNA from 1 species